UCCCUGGUAGUAUAUCGGUUAGUACACGCGCCUGUCAUGUGUAUGAAACUUCGUUUACGAGACGCGCGAAAGCUGGGUUCGACUCCCAGCCAGGGAG